AGUUGAAACUGGAAGAGGGAUUGCAAGGAUUUUCUGCAAAAGAUCAUUAGAGAACACUUGAGAUAAAUUUUCGGUUAUCCAUUGACGAGAGUUGCCAAUAUAAUCAGAAAUAUUAUUUUGAGAAAUAUUCGAUUCUAUAUUCACCAAAGUUGGCCACCAUUGCAAUGGACAAGUUGAAAUCCAAAGAUCAGUAUAUAUGUUAAUAUGAUGUCCAGACCCC
rnacentral:lncRNA from 1 species